CCAAUCAAAAUUACUCCAAGAGCAUAUAAACAACUCAUCAAGGAGGUCAGAAAAGAACCCAGAAAAGCCUCUAAAGCACUACAGACAUCGUCUGACCCAGAUAAAGGGUAACUCACCCCCGAAUUUUGCUAAUAAACUGUCGUCUUUUAGUUUCGUCUACGUAUCCUAGACAUUAUUUUUGACAAUUAAUUUACCGCACAUUUGUUGAAAUCCUGCAGUACAUUUUUCAACUGUGAGAUUGGGCGGAGUAAAGCCCGGUUUAUGCUUGAUGCAUCCGUGAGGUCCGCAUGCUAUAUUUUGCCAUUUUAGCAAUCAUGCCCCUCCACAAAGCCAAAAGUUUUCACUCCGUGCACCUGGGAAAAUUCCUGUGUACUGUGUGGACAGUCCAGUGCAGAAAAAAAAAUGGCGGACGGGCAUGUCCUUCUGUCGAAGGUUUGUGAAUAUAGACAUCUUCAUGAUUUGGCCCACGAAGAUCGCUGUGAUCAAAACAUUGCCGGACAGAAAUCACCGUCACUCUUGGAAAAAAGUAAGAUGCUUUAAAAUGUUGGAAACAGCUGUGACGUAGGAGCACAACACUGCCCUCUAGAGUCUAGGAGAAUAGUGCUACUUUGGAGGCAAACAAUGUGUCCGUACGUCUCUUUUGACGUACUUGCUGGAUGAGUUACACUUUAAUGUUGGCGUUUCCGAUUCAACAAAAAGAAAGACUUCGCAAAAAUAUCAUCCUGGGAGGAGUACCAAGGUGAAAAUCACUAUAGAACAAAAGAGUCCAAAUUCAUCUUGUUCAGGUGCAAGACUUUUGGGAAAAUAUUCUAUGGGAUCAUGUGAC